UAGACCUGCAGGAGACAUUGAACCAAGGCCGAGGAGUGACUUCCCAGGACAACAGGGGACAGAGUCCUGCGUGUUGUGGGGAAGACAAAGCAAGACCCUCAAAUCACAGCAGUUGUGAAAAUUCUUGUGCUUAAACUGUGACAUUCUCAGAAGCUUAUCUGUUCAGAGAUCAAAGGCCAUCCCCAUCUCUUGGCUAUUGGUACAGUCUGAAUUUCCCUGGCUUUCUUCUGGCUAUCCUUGUCUCCUGUGUUGUCCACAAUUGGAGGAGUCAGCAACCCACACAAAAAUGUCACCAUGCUUCUGCCCAAUGAGCGAGUCUGAGAAACUGACAAUGGCUUGAUAUGGAAGAUAUGGCAACUUGCCUUGGAAAUUAGAAGCAAAGUUUUACUCCAAAGACUUUUACCCACAUCCGAAAGUGCUAGAUCCAGGGAAUCUUAUCUUAUGUCAUGUGGAAACAUUUAUUUGCAAACCUCAAAAGACCCUGUUUAACUCCAGAACGAAGUUUCCUAUCUCUCCUCUUUUCCCUUCUUCCUUUUUUUUCUCCUUUCUCCCACCUCCUCUCUUUUUCAAUAUUUACCAGCAUGGGGGGAAUUAGACUCAAGCAUACUUGUUGUUCUAUACAAACCACAAGCCUCUGAUGCAUUGUGCUUUCUCCGUGGUGUAUACCUCACUGCACAAACAGGUAAACACUUCAUCUCCUGGAAGAGAGGGCACUGGGAACGGGAGCCAUUGCUACAUCCUUUUCUGCUUGUGUCUGCUGCCAUGACUGAUAAAGGGGCUGCUAUGAUCAUUGACUUGGGGGCAGUUGCUAGAAUGUGUGUGUCUGCUUGUGUGUGCUUGUGCACGCCUGUACACGCACACACUUUAGAGAGGACAGAUAUAAAUGCCAUGCGAUGAUGUUUUAACCUGUAAAAUGCUCAGGCUCGUCAAGGUUUCAGGGUUGGCAGUCUAUUGAAGUCUGCAUUUCAGAAUCAUCUCUAAAUUCUGCCAUGUCUCUCCCAAUCCUACGCACUCUACAUGUGCCGUCUGCACCAAACUCACGUUAUUCGACUUGGUAUUUGGCAUCAAUGUCCAUCCCGCUUCUUGAGAAGCCCACCUUGGUCAGCAGCAGCACAUCAAUGAAAUCCAGCGUCUUGGACUUGGCCUUGGACGUAAGGAAGGCGUCCAAACCCUGAUCUGGGAGGGUGCAGCGCCGCUCCUGUAUGAUGGCGUCAGUGAAUUCAUGUACCAGCUUGCAGGCCUUACGGAAGCGCACUCCAUCGGGGGUGAGAUUGUACAGCAGGUCUGCAUGCAGCAGAGGCUGCUGGUGCCUUUUGGCCACUAGGGCACUGAGCUCCAAGAUGGCAGAAAUAUAUUCACUGAGCUUCCUGCAGGAUUUAGGUAAAGGAGGCAGCAAUUUAACAGGUGUACGUCUUGGGCCUCUUAUCACCAGCCGGGGGCCAUUGGCAAUGGAAACGGUUGGCCACAGAGGCAGAGCGGAGUGAGCCCUGAGAGUCAACUUGAUCUCACCAAACUCAUCACAUCUCUGUGACCACAUCCUAUGUCCCCAACCCACAGUGUGGACACCUCUCAAUACUGACUUGCCAUGAAGACACCAGAAUCCAGAUUUGUCGUUCUUCCAACGAGGGCUGAGGACCAGUGCUUCUUCAGGUACCCUCCAGGUUUUGAACUGCUGAGAUAUCCGCCUUCACGAACUGAGAAACUAUAAGGUUCUCAACUUCUUCACCGUAACGACUCAGCCGGGAUAGUGUGAGACAUGCUAACAAAUCCCGAGUGAUGUAUUUUCAUUGUAUUGUUUCUGCCCCUUUGGAGGACCAUGACAACCACUGUGGUCUACACAGAGCAUGUCAACUUCCUGAAUAUAGGUGAUCUCAGCGUCUCCCAUCAGCGUGCUGCUAUCCUCAGCAGUUUGGGCCAGAGUCCUGGGUGCCACAUGGGAGACACAGUGAUGGCAUCCAGAGGAGAGAAGAUGCCCAUUUAACAGAAGAACUAACUGCCAUUCAAGGAGGGCAAGCCCCCAGCCCAGAUCAUAUGAACCCUCUAAAACAGCCUGGAACCUGCCCAGACUUACUCUGUGCUUGGUCCCAGAGAGCCAGGGCUCAAACUCCUAGCUGAGCUGGUAUGACAGAAAGGGAGUGGGGAGGGGGGGCAUCAGGGCUCCUGACACUGGUAGGAUGUUAGGAACACUUGCCUCUACCUGCCUCAUUGCCACUUCAGUUCAGUCAGCAAGACGGUCAGGAGUCUAUCUCUAGAGCCCUCCGAAGGGUGAUAGGUGCCCUCUCCAGAAUCCUCACUGCAGCCCCUCAUGUACACACGCAUUGAGUCCAUGAAGACUUUUUCCAGCCAGCUGUUAUCAAACUGUCCUAAACAGGGAUCAUUCUCCACAGUCAGGAGACAAACAGAAGCCGGCACAAGAGUAUUGGAAGAACUAUCCUGGCAUUUGUAACAGUGUUUCAGGGACCCACAGGCACCCAUCCCCCAACUUUCCAUGCGCACUGCAGUGCUCAGCAGAAUCUUCAAAGUCUGUUCAGAGCAGGAAAUGAAACAGCGUAACAAACAAGGUAUAGGUUACUCCAAGAAACAGUUUCCUCUAUCAAAAGCAAAGAAUGGAGUAUUUCCUGGUGAAAAAAAGAAUUAUAUUUUAAAAAAUGAUGGACACCAUAAAAUGUGUUU